AGGAACUGCCUGAUGGAGGGGGAUAACUACUGGAAACGGUAGCUAAUACCGCAUAACGUCGCAAGACCAAAGAGGGGGACCUUCGGGCCUCUUGCCAUCGGAUGUGCCCAGAUGGGAUUAGCUAGUAGGUGGGGUAACGGCUCACCUAGGCGACGAUCCCUAGCUGGUCUGAGAGGAUGCCAGCCACACUGGAACUGAGACACGGUCCAG
rnacentral:rRNA from 1 species